AAGAUAUCCAACUGCCCUGAUGAAGAGACCAUCUAGUGAGUCCUCAUAACUGUGGGAUAAAGAGAGGCCCAGAUGAGUGCAGCCUUCCAGUCACUACUCUUCAGACACCUGGUGACUGGCAGAGAGCUUAGUAAAUGUUUGGUCAUUCACUGACUGACAGGAAGAGUGGAACUCACCAACUAAUGAGAAAAUCGAAGGCUGGAGUGAGAUCACAGACUAGCAAUAGAAUCAAAC
rnacentral:lncRNA from 1 species